GUACUGGGGGGUCCUAUGGGGUCCUAUGGGGUCCUGUGGGAUCCUAUGGAGUUCUAUGGGGUCCUAUGGGGUCCUAGACCCACAUUAUAGGGUCCUAUGGGGUCCUGGACCCACACUAUGGGGUCCUGUGGGGUCCUAUGGGGUCCUGGACCCACACUAUGGGGUCCUGUGGGGUCCUAUGGAGUCCUGGACCCAAAUAAAUGGGUUCCUAUGGGGUCUUGGACCCACAUUAUAGGGUCCUAUGGUGUCCUAUGGGGUCCUGGACCCACAUUAUAGGGUUCUAUGAGGUCCUGUGGGGUCCUAUGGGGUAUUGGACCCACACUAUGGGAUCCUGUGGGAUCCUAUGGAGUCCUAUGGGGUCCUAUGGGGUCCUGUGGGAUCCUAUGGAGUUCUAUGGGGUCCUAUGGGGUCCUAGACCCACAUUAUAGGGUCCUAUGGGGUCCUGGACCCACACUAUGGGGUCCUGUGGGGUCCUAUGGGGUCCUGGACCCACACUAUGGGGUCCUGUGGGGUCCUAUGGAGUCCUGGACCCAAAUAAAUGGGUUCCUAUGGGGUCCUGGACCCACAUUAUAGGGUCCUAUGGUGUCCUAUGGGGUCCUGGACCCACAUUAUAGGGUCCUAUAGGGUCCUAUGGGUCCUGGACCCACAUUAUGGGGUCCUGUGGGAUCC
rnacentral:lncRNA from 1 species